rnacentral:rRNA from 1 species
UACGGGGGGAGCAAGCGUUGUUCGGAUUUACUGGGCGUAAAGGGCGCGUAGGCGGCCUGCUAAGUCGAACGUGAAAUCCCCGGGCUCAACCCGGGAACUGCGUCCGAUACUGGUUGGCUUGAAUCCGGGAGAGGGAUGCGGAAUUCCAGGUGUAGCGGUGAAAUGCGUAGAUAUCUGGAGGAACACCGGUGGCGAAGGCGGCAUCCUGGACCGACACUGACGCUGAGGCGCGAAAGCUAGGGUAGCAAACGGG